rnacentral:tRNA from 1 species
AAAACAUAAGAAAGAAAUAUAUAAUUCUAUUAAUUU